rnacentral:lncRNA from 1 species
AACCACGGCUGAGGAGCCAUCCCCGUCAGCUCUGGUCCUUCAGGCUCCACAGGAAGAUCUGGACAACACCCCGAGGUCACCAUGGAGAUCCCACAGUGACCUCUGACACCUCCUGUGGUGGCACCUGAGGUCACCAACCCCAACCCAACCGUGGCUGACAGGUGACCCAGCUCAGCUCAUUGUCCUCCAGGCUCCACAGGAAGAUCUGGACAACACCCCGAGGUCACCAUGGACAUCCCUGACACCGUGGGGACCUCGGACACCUCCCUGGUGGUACCAGGUGUACCCCAGGUGUACCCAGGUGUCCCCAGGUGCAUCCAGGUGUCCCCAGGUGUAUCUCAGGUGUCCCCAGGUGUCCCCAGGUGUGUCCAGGUGUCCCCAGGUGUGUCCAGGUGUAUCUCAGGUGUAUCUCAGGUGUCCCCAGGUGUGUCCAGGUGUGUCCAGGUGUACCUUCUGGCCGAUGGCAGACACCAGGUAGCCGUGACAGUGACACAGGGCUGUCACCGGUCCCUUCUGCUCCUUCUCGUAGAGCACCUUGAACUUGUUCUUGGUGAGCGGCUGUCCCGGCUCCGGAACCACCUCGAUNUGUCAUUGUCACCAUGUCAUUGUCACUGGCAUUGUCACCGUGUCAUUGUCACCAGUAGUGUCACCGUGUCAUUGUCACAGUGUCACUGCCAUCACCAUUGCCGCCGUCGUCUUUGUGUCAUUGUCACCGUCACUGUCAGUAUCACUGUCACCAUCGCACCACUGUCACCGUGUCAUUGUCACCGUCAUGUCAUUGUCAUUGUCACCAUCACUGUCAGUAUCACUGUCACCAUCACACCACUGUCACCGUGUUGUUGUCAUCAUCAUGUCAUUGUCAUUGUCACCGUCACUGUCAUUGUCACCACCACCACCAUUGUCAUUGUCACUGUGUCACUGUCAUUGUCACAUCAUUGUCACAGUGAUGAUGACAACCGUGACAUGUCAUGACAAUGACAAUGACAGUCAUCC